rnacentral:snoRNA from 1 species
AAGACUGUACUCGUACAGGAUCGUUUCUAUAGUAGAAACGUCUGAUUUGCACUAACAAAUUAGACAAUAAUCUAAUCCAGGAUGAUAAGAAAUACACAUCCACUCGUAAAGCGAGAUAAGUUCCUCCGCUGUGAUCGCCGCAAGGCUGAUUCGGUGCGAAGAGUGAAGACCGUCCUCUAGCCAGCUCUUCACAGAGCAGGCCAAGAGUGAGGGUGGAUGUGAGGUUGACUGGAC